AUUGAACGCUGGCGGCAGGCCUAACACAUGCAAGUCGAGCGGAUGAAGGGAGCUUGCUCCUGGAUUCAGCGGCGGACGGGUGAGUAAUGCCUAGGAAUCUGCCUGGUAGUGGGGGAUAACGUCCGGAAACGGGCGCUAAUACCGCAUACGUCCUGAGGGAGAAAGUGGGGGAUCUUCGGACCUCACGCUAUCAGAUGAGCCUAGGUCGGAUUAGCUAGUUGGUGGGGUAAAGGCCUACCAAGGCGACGAUCCGUAACUGGUCUGAGAGGAUGAUCAAUCACACUGGAACUGAGACACGGUCCAGACUCCUACGGGAGGCAGCAGUGGGGAAUAUUGGACAAUGGGCGAAAGCCUGAUCCAGCCAUGCCGCGUGUGUGAAGAAGGUCUUCGGAUUGUAAAGCACUUUAAGUUGGGAGGAAGGGCAGUAAGUUAAUACCCUGCUGUUUUGACGUUACCAACAGAAUAAGCACCGGCUAACUUCGUG
rnacentral:rRNA from 1 species